UGUACAUUUUGACCUGCCUUGCAGCGGUGGCAGCAUCACCAAAGCAUGGAAAAAAGACAGAGAUAAGACACAGAAGGACUUAUCACCUUAUCUCCAGCCCUGUGAGCUUACUCAGGCCCACUGGUCUGGACCUGUUAAUACCACACUUGUACUUAUAGUGCUGCUGACAGCUUUUUUCUUUCCUUUUUGUUGAGCUACAUCCUGUAUAAUUGAAGAAUUUCUUUCUCUUUCUCUCAGGUUCCUGCAGAGACCUUUUUCCAGAAAUUCAGCUGUAAAAAGCUAGAGCUAUUCUCCUGGAAAGAUGGGGUCUACAGAAGCGAGGAGAACUUCCCACCUUGGGCGUGACCGAAACCCGGCCAGGGGCUUUUAUCGCGGUUCACGGCUCUCAUGGCUGCUGUCAGUUGCUCAGUAGGCAGUGUAGAUCCUGUGUUGCAAUCAGCAGCUACAUCUGGCUACUGGGUCUCUGACGGCUCUGCCUACUUCCCAGCCGAGCGUGCCCGUUCCUCUUCCAUUGGCUCGUGGCGCAUUCCAAUCCUCUGAUUGGCUGCAAUGUCAGGGGGGCUCCAUCCUGUGACCCCACAGACAGGAUGUUCUCUGUGUCACAACUCCACAAGGGGCCCUUGUCAAGGCUUUUACUGUUUUUUUCUUCAGUCCUUCCUCUUGUACCAUUAUUCAUUUUAUUCUAACUAUUUCUGCUCUAAUGUACUCUUGCAUAAGGUUUCCAGAAGUGUUAAUUGAUGCAUGCUUUGCCAAGUCCUUCAGAGAGACAUAUGCUCCGUCCUGAACCUGGCAUACAAUGUAGAUUUCUGUGUGGUUCAAUUCUACAGCUACAUUGUCUGCUGGGUUUCUGGCUAGCAAUAUAGGCAGCGGUUACAUAAUGCUCGGGCGAUUAGGAAGGUAAGAGUCUAUCCAUUCUAUACAAUGUGUUACUCAAUUGCCUGACAAUUCAAUAAAAAGAAAAUAUUUGGCAUUAAUCCCA